rnacentral:lncRNA from 1 species
CUGGGGGUAUUGCUGGUGGGUAAGUAGGGAAACUACUGUAUCCUGAUGAAUUACAAUAGUCUGCAGAAGAGAAAAUCUCUUUCUAAAGUGUAACAAAUUUCUGAUUUUAAUUACAUGAUAACAUCUUAGCAAUUUUAAAAUUAGCAACUGAGGUGUCCUGCUGCCGUAGAAAGCUUUCUGGACUAAAAGUCCAGUUCGCCAAUUAGAUAUUGACUUACUAUUUAGACUUUGGUAAAUUACUAAUCUCUGUUUACCUUUUAUUUUUUGUAAAGAUUUAUGUAUAAGAUCAUUUCCAUCUCCAUGUCCAUCUGAAUAACUUCUUUUUCUUAGGGUUGUGAAAAUAAAAUCAGUGCAUGGUAUAAUGUUAAUGUGUUAACCUUAAUCGGAAUUAACUUUGGACUUUUAACUUCAGAGGUUUUCCAAGUCUCAUUAACAGUUUGUUUCUUCAAAAACAUCAAGAAUAUAAUCCAUGCAGAAAUGUGACCUUUGGAUUUCAAUUUGUUCAGAAGAAACCAGUUAAUUCUUAAAAAAUCACAUUAUAUUAUUUUAUUCCAAAAACGUUUUGAAUUGUAUUAAAUAACAGAUGUAUUCAAAUUAUUAAUUAUAUGUAAUAUUGAAUUACUGAAUACUAUAAUAAAACAUUCAUGAAAUUA